AUCGCCAACUAGUCCUUCUGACAUCAACAACUUAACCGAAUGUAUCUGGUUUGUGGAAGCCGAUCAAAGCGAUAAAGGAAUCUUUUUGAAAAGAAAUCGCAGCACGAAUAUCGCAACUAGUGAUGGACAAGAACAACUCAUCAUGACAGUAUACGACGGUUGGAACUCGACAGGGCAGGUGUUGUACGACGGAAAAGUUUCAUCUAUAGCCAGCCGACUAGUGAAAUCUUGUAUUCGAUUAGCCACAAAGUGAUGAUCAAAUUUACGCGGCCGACAUCAUACAUUUCAGGGAAUACAGCCCACUGGGAUGUCGCCUCCAUACCAAUGGGCAAGGAGGAAGUUAUGGGGACAACAGGGAAAAUUGAAAGUCCAAACUAUCCAGCGGCUUAUCCCAAUUCGUACGAUUACCGCUGGAAUAUCAUCACUUCACCGGGAACAAAAAUUCAACUUCUAUUUGCCUUUUUUAAAACUCAAGAGAUGUUCGACUUUGUCCUGGUGUACGACGGGUCUACAGUGAAUUCACGGCUGCUUCUCGAGAAAUCCGGAUAUGAAUCGAU